CCAAUUCUUCGAGCCCGUGCGCCUAAAGCGGAGGCCAUGGCGGCGGGCCAAAGGGUGUACCUGGAAACGGAUACGCCUACCAUUUUGUAAAGGAGAAUG
rnacentral:ncRNA from 1 species